UUAUCUUCAGCCUCUUCCUUCACUUCACUCUCCCAACAUCUCUCCCAACUUAAUCCCUCUCUGUAUUUCCGUCGAUUUUUUCUCAAUCAUUAGAACAAUAAGUCUUUUGAAUCAGAACUCUAUUAUUAGGUUGUGCUUCCUCUUCUUCCUCCACGAGAUCCAUCAACAACAUCAGUUAUCGAAGGUUUGUUUUGAUCUGAAUCGACACCUAAGAAUGAAGAUUUUUUAUUGUUAAAAAACGAAUCGAAGGAUAAGUAUAAUAUAUCCUUAUCGUCUAUUUCAAUCGAUUAAGUUAUCCAUAUUGAAUUGAAAUUUAAGAAAAAGAUUUUUUUUUUAUGUUGGUUACCUGAUAACUUCGAUUUCAUCCCAUAUCUCUUUUCUGAUUCAUGAUCAGAGUUUAGAUCUACAUGAAUCUCAUUUUAAUCUUGCUUUUGAGAUAAAAAAUUUACCAAACUUUUUCUAGGGUUCUUGGGUAAAAUUCGAGUUAAAUCUCAAUCUAUAGCUCCGAUCGAAAAUAUAAAAGCAGAUUAGAACUCAACAUACCUUAAUCCCUAUUACCCGUUGAAACGAUUUGAAGUUUGUCAACUUUUAAUUUUCGAUUCUCUACUCACUCUUAUACCUGUUCAAUGAAACUUGUUUUAGUUGUUUAAAAUAAAACAGAUGAAAUAUGAGUGAUCACAAGAUAUGAACAAAUGCAAUUCUUGAACUAUUGCUCCACAAGCUUCACAAGAGGAAAGAUAAAUUAUGAUUGCACCACCUGAUGCCUUAGCUGAUAGCUCCAUGAGCCGAGAAUGGUCUGAAGGGAAAAUUGCCAACAAAAUUAAUGCAGAACCACAACAAUGCAGUUGCUUUUAUAAAUAUAUAAGCUUUUGUUCUAUUUAUAUUCUAGUCAUGAUCUUGUAUCUCUUAUUAGAAACACAUAAGAUAGCAUAACCGUUUCUUUUCCUAGAAAUGCAUAAGUAUUCACUGUCUUCUUUAACAUUUUUUGAUUGUUGUACAAAUCUUUAAAGCAUAAGCGUAAUACUAUCUUAUUGCUUUCUUUAUUGACUGCAUUUCAGUGUUAAGCAUGCUUGAGCAUGCCUGAAAUUAUAUCUUAUUGCUUUCUUUAUUGACUGAAUAGUUAAUUUUACUCACGGCACUUGAAGCUCAAUGAUGUUUUGUUGUUGGUAGUCUCCAAAUUGUUCUAGCAGACUUUUUACAGCUAAUUAAUUAAUGCAUUAUGUUGUGAGUACUGACCUACCCCUGCAAUACAAGAAAUUCUGAAUAGCUUUCUAUUAACCUGCACGCAGCACAAUUCUGGACAUCUUUUUUUUUCUCUUGCAGGGAUCUAUUGAAAUUGUGCAAAAGAUGUACAGAGUUAGGAUUCAGCUUCGCAGGAAUUAGUUUGACAGUUCAUGAAUGCAAAAGCAUCUAUCAGAAGGAAAACCAAUUUGAUUUGUGAGUUGGAAGAGUUAUCCUUGAACCCGUGAUAUAUGUUGGUUAAUUCCCUGUGGGGAUGGUAAAACCUUCUACCUGUGUUUGAGUAAUUGAAGGCAUAGAAUUGGAAGUCCUCGGGUAAAAUGCUGCUUAACUGUAUGAAAUAUUUUCAAGUUAUCUGUUUUGUGAAGCUUUGUAAAAGAGUUUGAGGAUCAGUAAACUAUCCGGGUACUUGUGCAGAUUUGCAUAUGUUCUAGUCUUUUUCCUCUGGUCUGUUUGAUAUGUUACUAAACUUCCAAGUUUGUAAUGGUUAAACAAGUUACUGAGAUUGGAAAGCUUCGAGAAGCUCGUGCAAAGCCAAUAACGUUCAAGGAUGGUACAUGACUUCUUAGACAGGUAACACAUCCUAGUGAUAGAAACAACUUAACCAACUCCCAGUCGAAGAUGAUGACUACACUGGUAAUGCAAAGGAGAUGAUAAUUGGUUCGCCGUUUUGAGCAAGAUGGGAAGUGGCAAAGUUCUCAGGUGGCAACAAUGAUGCAUCACCAUCCUCAUGCUCGGCAAGCCAUGGGAAUUGGUGCUGCUAGAGCAUCUAGUCGAGCAAGUUGCGAUACUGGCUACUGCUUGAUCCUGCAAUAGCGAUUACUGGUCGAGAAAAUAGGGCAGCGCAAGUGUUUUGUACUACGCAUGUUUCUUUCUUCAGAUUUGUUUGAAGACUUGUCCUUAUGGAGGUUGUAUACAGCGGUGAUGAUAGGAAGGGAUCUAAACUAAAAAGAGCGUGAUGAUAGGAAGGGAUCUAAACUGAAAAGAGCUCCUCAUGGCAAGGUCCCACUGGAAACAUGGUAGAAGAGGAUCUGGAAUUUUUCGGUUGCAACAAGCUGGGGACGAGUUGCGCCUUAGCAGAAUCUCACAAGCAAUUAUUUGAUUAUAUCAGCAACUUGAUCUCAGAUAACAGUCUUGAGGUAUAAGGUACCUUGGACUUGAAGUACUGGUGCUUGCAGAAGUAGGCCUACUCUUUAUGAUGUAUUUUCAACUUAUCUUUCAUUUCAUGUAUACAUAUCUUUUAUUCCAACAAUAAAGUGGCAGUACUAUGUAUUGCUGGUUUGGCAGAGUUUAGUUGAACCUAAUUUAUUUGAUAUAGGGAGUAAUUGAUGUGGCUUA